AAGUGGCCAGGGAGUUCACAUGAUUCCUUUAUAUGGACAGACUCUGCUCUUUCGUUGAAAUUUGAAAGUGGUGAAAUAGGCGAAGGGUGGCUUCUGGGAGAUUCGGCAUACCCCCUCAGACCCUGGAUGCUGACCCCAUAUCUACACCUUCCACACCUAGUGCAUUUCGAUACAAUACACGUCACAUGAAAGCGAGGAACACAAUCGAGCGCUGUUUUGGAGUGUGGAAAGGUCGUUUCUGAUGCCUCGAUAAAAGUGGUGGACCUAUAUUAUUUGAUCCCACGAAAGCCUGCAAGGUUAUUGUUGCAACAGCUGUGUUGCACAAUAUGUGCAUAAACAAAACAAUUCCUCUGCCAGAAAACGAGAUACCUAUCGAUUU